UCGAGUCAUGCUAGGUCCAUACACAUGCAAUCGAACGGUAACAGGAAGCAGCUUGCUGCUUCGCUGACGAGUGGCGGACGGGUGAGUAAUGUCUGGGAAACUGCCUGAUGGAGGGGGAUAACUACUGGAAACGGUGGCUAAUACCGCAUAACGUCGCAAGACCAAAGAGGGGGACCUUCGGGCCUCUUGCCAUCAGAUGUGCCCAGAUGGGAUUAGCUUGUUGGUGAGGUAACGGCUCACCAAGGCGACGAUCCCUAGCUGGUCUGAGAGGAUGACCAGCCACACUGGAACUGAGACACGGUCCAGACUCCUACGGGAGGCAGCAGUGGGGAAUAUUGCACAAUGGGCGCAAGCCUGAUGCAGCCAUGCCGCGUGUAUGAAGAAGGCCUUCGGGUUGUAAAGUACUUUCAGCGGGGAGGAAGGUGUUGUGGUUAAUAACCGCAGCAAUUGACGUUACCCGCAGAAGAAGCACCGGCUAACUCCGUGCCAGCAGCCGCGGUAAUACGGAGGGUGCAAGCGUUAAUCGGAAUUACUGGGCGUAAAGCGCACGCAGGCGGUCUGUCAAGUCGGAUGUGAAAUCCCCGGGCUCACCUGGGAACUGCAUUCGAACUGGCAGGCUGAGUCUGUAGAGGGGGAGAAUCCAGGUGUAGCGUGAAUGCGUAAGAUCUGAGAUACGGUGCGAGGCGCCCUGACAAGCUACCCAGGCAACGUGGACACGGG
rnacentral:rRNA from 1 species